UCCCUAAAGGUCCAGUGAUUAGGACUCUGAGCUUUCACUUCAAGGGCUCAGGUUCAAUCCCUGGUUAGAGAA
rnacentral:tRNA from 1 species